GGCACCAAGAAGGAGCCGAACAUGGCGCUUUGUGUUUUGUGUGUCAAUGAAGAUGCAGAGAGCGAUGAAGGGAGACUCUUAGCAUCAGCGCUAGCCUGACAGAGGAGUACUGAGCGUGAACUUUUCCCAGAAACUGGUGGAGAAAAUCUGCAUUUUGUACCUCAUUUAAUGGAGAAUAUAAUAGACAGGAAAAUGGUCGCUCAAAAGCUGUUUAUAUUCGCCCCGCUGUUCAUUUUAUUAGCUGUAAAACUUUAUUUUUCUCCCCUCAGCCCAGAUUGGUGCCUUAAUUCACCCGGGCUGAGGGACAUUUCCACACAGUGGUGGGAAAAACAGCAGUAUCAGUCGCUAUUAGUGCUUUUUUCAGAGUUAAAUGAAGGUGGUUUUGAUUUGGUGAUGUUUAGUUGUGAAGGUUUGGCCACUGCACACAAUACUUACUGAGUUAACAGCUGUCUCCAGUGCUAUGUGAAUGGACAGAGGUCGGGUGAAGGUCAGCAGGCCGUGGACGUUCCUCCAUUUUCACCUACUUCACCUUCUUCCGCUGUGAUGAAGCUGCAGAGACGAGUCAGAGCUGCUCUAAUGUGACGUUUCACCACCGAAAAGAGCCAAAACACUGACCAAACCUGAUCAGCCAUGGGCGUCUGCUGUCUAAUAAGGACCGGAGUUGAACGUGUAAAGGAAGCUGCAUUCAUCUACUUUGGAGCAGCUGGACCUCACAGCAGGAGUCCUGCUGCUGGAAGAUCAGACUGCAGAGAACUUCAUGAAGUUGUAGUUAAUUCUGGCCUGUCACAGUUACCACACAGUCGCCUGAUUGGAAUUAUUUCAGAUGAUUGUAAUUCAAGUUUACCACAAUUAUUGUUUAGUUUUUAGCUUUUCAUAAUCAUCUGCUUCUGUUAAAAACAGACGACUUGACUACUGUAAUGCUUUGUUCAUAGGACGUCCUGAGUACAACCAACAAAUUCCAACUAGUGCAAAAUGCAGCAGCAAGAAUAUUAACCCGGGCUAGAAAACAGGAUCAUAUUAGACCAGUUUUAGCAUCACUGCACCGGCUGCCUGUCUCUUUUAGAAUCGACUAUAAAAUUUUACUACUAGUUUUUAAAUAUCUUAAUGGUUUAACACCUUCAUACAUUUCUGCGUGCUUUUAGAUGAUGUUCCUAAUCCAGCUUUAAGAUCAUCCAGUGCUGCUGCUCCAUGUUCCACGUAUAAAACUUAAACAGAGCAGAGAGGCAGCGUUUUGUUUUUAUUGUUACCUAUGUUUUUACUGGAAUAUUACUAUUACUUUUAU